ACCACGGUUUUUUUUAAAACUAUCUAUAUUUCACGAGAUAUUCAAU
rfam:Operophtera brumata OBRT01_Sc00237, whole genome shotgun sequence.